UGAUGACAAAUCUCCGGAAUCUCUGCAUAUGCUUGAUGAUACGUUGAACCCCUUUUCUGAUGACUGUUGUAGUAACUCAAU